rnacentral:misc_RNA from 1 species
UCUCCGUUGGUGAACCAGCGGAGGGAUCAUUACCGAGUUUACAACUCCCAAACCCCUGUGAACAUACCAUUUGUUGCCUCGGCGGUGCCUGCUUCGGCAGCCCGCCUGAGGACCCAAACUCUUGAUUUUAUACAGUAUCUUCUGAGUAAAUGAUUAAAUAAAUCAAAACUUUCAACAACGGAUCUCUUGGUUCUG